GACAGAGGAGGCAAGCGUUGUCCGGACUGACUGGGCGUAAAGCGUGCGCAGGCGGCUAUGCAAGACAGAUGUGAAAUCCCCGGGCUCAACCUGGGAACUGCAUUUGUGACUGCAUGGCUAGAGUACGGCAGAGGGGGAUGGAAUUCCGCGUGUAGCAGUGAAAUGCGUAGAUAUGCGGAGGAACACCGAUGGCGAAGGCAAUCCCCUGGGCCUGUACUGACGCUCAUGCACGAAAGCGUGGGGAGCAAACAGG
rnacentral:rRNA from 1 species